GAUCCUGGCUCAGGAUGAACGCUAGCGACAGGCCUAACACAUGCAAGUCGAGGGCAGCGCGGAAGUAGUUACUAAUUCUGGCGGCGACCGGCGCACGGGUGCGUAACAGGUGUGCAAUCUGUCCAUAGUCGGGGAAUAGCCCACCGAAAGGUGAAUUAAAGCUCCAUGUGUCAUUAAGCCGCAUGACUUGAUGAUGAAACGUAAGGACUAUGGGUGAGCACGCUUCUGAUUAGAUAGUUGGUAGGGUAACGGCCUACCAAGUCGACGAUCAGUAGGGGUUCUGAGAGGAAGGUCCCCCACAUUGGAACUGAGACACGGUCCAAACUCCUACGGGAGGCAGCAGUGAGGAAUAUUGGUCAAUGGGCGAGAGCCUGAACCAGCCAAGUCGCGUGAAGGAUGAAGGUUCUAUGGAUUGUAAACUUCUUUUAUUCGAGGGUAAAGGUCGGUACGUGUACCGAUUUGCAAGUAUCGAAUGAAUAAGCAUCGGCUAACUCCGUGCCAGCCGCGGC
rnacentral:rRNA from 1 species